CCUCUGGCUCGGUGUUGACCAAACCUGGUGGUUGCCGUUAGGGACGCCGGAGGCCGGCGUAGUCCACCGCCAGGGUCAUUCCAACCUUCUCGGUUUGCCGGGACCAUCAGUCCUCCAGCCGCCUUCUCCUUCCACCAGGUUUUUAGCCACUGAUGUUACUAAUAAUAAAAUAUUGGAGCAUAGAGUUGAGGAAAAGACUUAAACCAGAUUUUUCUUAAAUUAGUUAAAAAUAUGGAUUCCGAAACAGGAGGAGCACAGAUUGUCAAAGUGACACCUGUUCAGCAAAUGCUUGCCUCUUGUACUGGAGCUAUACUGACAUCACUAAUAGUGACACCCCUGGAUGUUGUUAAAAUUCGACUCCAAGCCCAAAGCAACUCAUUUCCUAAAGGAAAAUGUUUUGUGUAUAGUAAUGGAUUAAUGGAUCAUCUAUGUGUUUGUGAAGAGGGAGGCAACAAAGCAUGGUAUAAGAAGCCAGGAAAUUUCCAGGGAA